rnacentral:lncRNA from 1 species
GGAAGGAUGUACUUUUUGGGAAGGUAAGGCUGAUGCACUUAUAAGAUUAAAGCUAUUGGAAAUAAUGAAAAGCUGUGUCUGUAGCUUAGAUAUAAGCAUCUAGAAGAAAAAUAUGGAAGCACACAAGUGGAAUGAAUAUUUGAAGUAAUCCAGGUUCAAUCCUCUGCAGUUUUUAGUUGCAGUAGAAUUCAAAGGUUAGCAGUCCUGAAAGCAUUAAGUCCUUUUUUCUCUCUUCUUCUCUUUGUUAUGAGCUGCUUUAAAUUUGCAUUGUUAUUCUGUCAAAGUGCAGGGCAAGAUUCAGCUGGUGCAGGAUGUAUGGAGCAGACCUUUUUAAAGCCAGUGAAGUGCUUGAAUCAUGUCAUCCUCGUCCCAGCAUAAGAUGAUCCUAUAGAUCCUGGGUAGCGCUGAGAUUCGAGGAGAUCCAGAAGACCUGCAGCAUGAAUUGGAAGUACGUGUGGUCCCCUCCUGGAGCACUGCUGGGUGUAAGCUGAGCCCUGGAGCUGUCUGUAGGAAGCUGUGCUGGAGAGAGGUGCAGGGAUCCCAGGGGCAUCUGAUUUCCUGCUGCACCUUCUGCUCACACCCCCGAGAACUUCUGCCUUUCAGACCCCCCCAGGAACCACAUGCAGGGUGUAUUGAGAGUGUAGUGGCUGAGGGAUGUGCAGAAAGUCAAGCUGGGAGUGGAAGCACAGCCCCAAAAUGCAUGUGCACAGCCGUGGUUCAUCAUUAUGGAGGCUGUUGGUGGCCCUGCCUAUGCUCUGAUGCUUCCUCUGGAGUUCAGCUUCGAAGUAAAUCUCACAUCACACUGCAAACUUUUUUUCAAGCCAGAGACCUGUCUGUAAUUCGUAGCUCACCAGGGUCUGCAGGCCAGAGGCUGAAAAGUGUUGCAUCAAAGGAGCUGAGUGCUGGAGAUGUGGCUGAGAUGGAAA